AGAGUUUGAUCCUGGCUCAGGAUGAACGCUGGCGGCGUGCGUAACACAUGCAAGUUGAGCGACGACGCAUCUGAAGUGGCAACAUGGAAGGUGCGAGCGGAGCAGCGGACGGGUGAGUACAACAUGAGAAGCUGUCCUCUGGUGGGGGACAACGUCUAGAAAUGGACGCUAAUACCCCAUAGGCCGAAAGGUUAAAGCAGCAAUGUGCCAGAGGAGGUGCUCGUGCCCUAUCAGCUAGUUGGUGAGGUAAUGGCUCACCAAGGCGACGACGGGUAGCCGGCCUGAGAGGGUGUCCGGCCACACUGGGACUGAGAUACGGCCCAGACUCCUACGGGAGGCAGCAGUGGGGAAUAUUGGGCAAUGGGAGAAAUCCUGACCCAGCGACGCCGCGUGAACGAAGAAGGCCUUCGGGUCGUAAAGUUCUUUUAUGCGGGAAGAAGAAAGUGACGGUACCGCAUGAAUAAGCCCCGGCUAACUACGUGCCAGCAGCCGCGGUAAUACGUAGGGGGCGAGCGUUGUCCGGAAUUACUGGGCGUAAAGGGCACGCAGGCGGUGUGUCAAGUCAGCUGUAAAAGGAUGCGGCUUAACCGUAUUGUGCAGUUGAGACUGACGUACUGGAGUACUGGAGAGGCAAGUGGAAUUCCCAGUGUAGCGGUGAAAUGCGUAGAUAUUGGGAAGAACAUCGGUGGCGAAGGCGACUUGCUGGCCAGUAACUGACGCUGAGGUGCGAAAGCCAGGGUAGCAAACGGGAUUAGAUACCCCGGUAGUCCUGGCCGUAAACGAUGAAUGCUAGGUGUGCGUGCAGAGAUGCAGGUGUGCCGUAGUUAACGCGAUAAGCAUUCCGCCUGGGGAGUACGGUCGCAAGAUUGAAACUCAAAGGAAUUGACGGGGGCCCGCACAAGCGGUGGAGCACGUGGUUUAAUUCGACGCAACGCGAAGAACCUUACCGGAGCUUGACAUCCCCUGAAUUUGGUUGUAAUGACUGAAGUGCUCUUCGGAGAGCAGGGAGACAGGUGGUGCAUGGUUGUCGUCAGCUCGUGUCGUGAGAUGUUGGGUUAAGUCCCGCAACGAGCGCAACCCUUAUGUUCAGUUGCUACGGAAGAGCACUCUGGACAGGCUGCCGUUGACAAAACGGAGGAAGGUGGGGACGACGUCAAAUCAUCAUGCCCCUUACGUUCCGGGCUACACACGUACUACAAUGGCGAGAACAAAGGGAAGCGAUACCGCGAGGUGGAGCGAACCCCAUAAAAAUCGUCCCAGUUCGGACUGCAGGCUGCAACCCGCCUGCACGAAGUUGGAAUUGCUAGUAAUCGCGGAUCAGCAUGCCGCGGUGAAUACGUUCCCGGGCUUUGUACACGCCGCCCGUCAAACCAUGAAAGUUGGGAACACCCGAAGCCUGUGAGCCAACCGCAAGGGAGCAGCAGUCGAAGGUGGGUUCAAUGAUUGGGGUUAAGUCGUAACAAGGUAGCCGUA
rnacentral:rRNA from 1 species